GACGAACGCUGGCGGCGUGCUUAACACAUGCAAGUCGAACGGAAAGGCCCUGCUUUUGUGGGGUGCUCGAGUGGCGAACGGGUGAGUAACACGUGAGUAACCUGCCCUUGACUUUGGGAUAACUUCAGGAAACUGGGGCUAAUACCGGAUAGGAGCUCCUGCUGCAUGGUGGGGGUUGGAAAGUUUCGGCGGUUGGGGAUGGACGCGCGGCUUAUCAGCUUGUUGGUGGGGUAGUGGCUUACCAAGGCUUUGACGGGUAGCCGGCCUGAGAGGGUGACCGGCCACAUUGGGACUGAGAUACGGCCCAGACUCCUACGGGAGGCAGCAGUGGGGAAUAUUGCACAAUGGGCGGAAGCCUGAUGCAGCAACGCCGCGUGCGGGAUGACGGCCUUCGGGUUGUAAACCGCUUUCGCCUGGGACGAAGCGUGAGUGACGGUAAUGGGUAAAGAAGCACCGGCUAACUACGUG
rnacentral:rRNA from 1 species